rnacentral:rRNA from 1 species
UACGUAGGUGGCAAGCGUUGUCCGGAUUUACUGGGCGUAAAGAGCGCGCAGGCGGUCAUUCAAGUCGAGUGUGAAAGCCCCCGGCUCAACUGGGGAGGGUCACUCGAUACUGUUUGACUCGAAGGCGGGAGAGGGAAGUGGAAUUCCCGGUGUAGUGGUGAAAUGCGCAGAUAUCGGGAGGAACACCAGUGGCGAAGGCGGCACUCUGGGCCGGAACUGACGCUGAGGAGCGAAAGCGUGGGGAGCGAACAGG